ACAAGAACUGUCAUUAAUAAAGAAAACUAAGGAGGAUCAAAAUAAAGAGGAAUGUACACUCGUGGAAUUAAAGGAAGUAAAAGAAGCAACCAAUGAUUUGGAAGAGAAACUACAAAGUAAUUA